ACAGAACAGCCACUGACCAACAAACUUCUCUCUGAUUGAUCUUACCUCGGUGCCAUUUCAAGCAUUCCAGUCUACAAGCAGAACACACCCAUCCGGACCUCGGUUCUGAAAAACGUCCACACUCACCGUAGGCUCUCAGACGGAGAGGAAAAAACACAGGGUGUUUGUGUUUUUCUAGGCAGCGAGAUUUUAAAACGAAACGAUGGUGCUCUUCUUCUCAAUGUCUCUCAUUUGACGAGGAAACACGGCAAGCCAUAGAGUAACAACCAUGUCUAUAUACUACACACUCCACACGGUACAACAUCACACACACUCGGAAAUGGACACUCCGCAGCAAAGGACACUAUCUACAAGCACACUUCUUCUUCUUUUUCUUUUCUUUUUUUUUUUUUAAGUAUACGUAUUUCCAUUACUAUAGUGUAUGUGCAUUAUGUGCCAUCAGACCCUUCAUAACAGAGUCCAAACCUAACACCCUGCAAUGUGAAAUCAAUUGCUGUUUGUGUGUUAUUUUUAGGGAUUCGAAUUCACCCUCUUACCAGAACAGUGUAAUGCUGCCUCUCUUCCAGGCCUGGAUGGUAGCCCAUAAGUGCCAAGACAUGUUAACAAACCAAACCAGGCAAACAACAAAUCAGAAACACAACAACAAAAGUAAAAAAAAAAAUAAAAAUAUCAUAAUGUAAAAGCAAAUGAGAAAACGCAACAAAACUAAAAACAUAGCAAAUCGGGAAACAACGAAACUAAAAAUACAACAAAUCAGGAAACAACUCAACUAAAAACACAGCAAAUCAGGAAACAACAGAAAAACUAAAAGCAACAGUAAAAUCACAUCAAUAUUAUCACAAAACACAAAGGGGAGGUCCUUACUGAACGUCGCAUAAUUAUAUCAAUGCUGUGCAAAGUUAUAAGAAUAUGAACGUACAUGAAGGCCCUUGAUAAAAUAAUAAUAAUAAUAAGCAGGAAUGAAAGCAUUUCAUAUUUCCUCUAACUAAACAUCCUCCAACGUACACUGUAGCCAAUCAGCAACCAGCAUGGAACAUGGCAUGUUCUCCCUGGACGUCCCUUUCUGUUUUGAGAUAAUUGUAAGGUGUUUUUUGAUUUGCUGUCGUGGUUUAUUUUGUUGUCGUGGCGUUUAUUUUUUUUAUUAGUAUUGUUGUGUUUUCUAGUUUAUUUUUGCGUCCUGGGUCUGUGAAUGUGUCCUGCACUUCCAGGUCGGAUGACAGUUCGAGGCGAAUUCAGUUCUCUGGUGUUAAAACGAACCCAUAGAAAGAGAAAACAUUUCACGUGAAGAUGUCGUCUCGUUCCCACAGUGCUGUGAUUCAGGCCUCAUGCUUAUCUCUCCACUGAGAAAAGAAAACGUAUAUUCUCUCCUCAUGCCCUAAUUCUUACCUGUAUUUAAUAACAAGUCUAAACCUUUUAUAACAAAAGAAUAAACUAACACAUUUAUCAACAUAUAUGGAAAGACUAUGGAAACCUGUCUGGGUUAUUUUACAAGAGGAGGGGGGCGGGGGGAUUAAAUAUUCAAAUGUUUUAAAAAAUUUUUUUUUUUUUUUUAAAUCAAACAGUGUUUCUUUUAUUUCCUUUUUUUUUUUUUUCUUUUUCACUAUGUCAGGACAAAGUAACCCUUUCAGGUGCUACAGGAUGACCAGUUACUGCGUUGUUUCCUAGCUGUAGACUUUUCCUAACCGUUGUCAAUAGUUUUAAUACGAGUCGUGCAAAAUGAAGGAUGUUAGUUACUAAACUGUGUCGCUCACUCCCUCAUUCCUGACAAUAGAGCAUGUUUUCAUCACUUUAUGGAG
ensembl:lncRNA